rnacentral:misc_RNA from 1 species
GAUGAAGAACGCAGCGAAAUGCGAUAAGUAGUGUGAAUUGCAGAAUUCCGUGAAUCAUCGAGUUUUUGAACGCAUAUUGCGCCCUCUGGUAUUCCGGGGGGCAUGCCUGUUCGAGCGUCAUUAAAUAACCCUCAAGCAUAGCUUGGUGUUGGGCUUUUUUACGUCCUUGACUGGGAUGGGCCUAAAAAUUAGUGGCGAUGGCUUUUUUACUUUCAAGCGUAGUAAAUCUCGUCUUGCUAAAGAGGAAAAAGAUUUUUUUUCUGCCAAAAAUUUUAACAUUUAAAGUUGACCUCGGAUCAGGUAGGAUUACCCGCUGAACUUAAGCAUAUCAAUAAGCGGAGGA